rnacentral:rRNA from 1 species
GUCUGAUUAGCUGGUUGGUGAGGUAACGGCCCACCAAGGCGACGAUCAGUAGCCGGCCUGAGAGGGUGAACGGCCACAUUGGGACUGAGACACGGCCCAAACUCCUACGGGAGGCAGCAGUGGGGAAUAUUGCACAAUGGGGGAAACCCUGAUGCAGCAACGCCGCGUGAGUGAAGAAGUAUUUCGGUAUGUAAAGCUCUAUCAGCAGGAAAGAAAAUGACGGUACCUGACUAAGAAGCCCCGGCUAACUACGUGCCAGCAGCCGCGGUAAUACGUAGGGGGCAAGCGUUAUCCGGAUUUACUGGGUGUAAAGGGAGCGUAGACGGUUUUGCAAGUCUGAAGUGAAAGCCCGGGGCUUAACCCCGGGACUGCUUUGGAAACUGUAGGACUAGAGUGCAGGAGAGGUAAGUGGAAUUCCUAGUGUAGCGGUGAAAUGCGUAGAUAUUAGGAGGAACACC